AUUGAACGCUGGCGGCAGGCUUAACACAUGCAAGUCGGACGAGUGGCGAACGGGUGAGUAAUGCCUCGGAACGUACCUGAUGGUGGGGGAUAACUCUUGGAAAGGGUAGCUAAUACCGCAUACUAUCGGAUCGGCCCAGGUAGGAUUGGCGUGUAGGGGGGGUAACGGCUCACCACGGCGACGAUCCCUAGCUGGUCUGAGAGGAUGAUCAGCCACACUGGAACUGAGACACGGCCCAGACUCCUACGGGAGGAAGCAGUGGGGAAUAUUGGACAAUGGGCGCAAGCCUGAUCCAGCCAUGCCGCGUGUAUGAAGAAGGCCUUCGGGUUGUAAAGUACUUUUAGCGGGGAGGCGGUACCCGAAGAAUAAGCACCGGCUAACUACGUGCCAGCAGCCGCGGUAAUAC
rnacentral:rRNA from 1 species